UCAAUGAAAUAACUGUCAACGACAAAUUCCCCAUUUCUAAAAUGGAUGAAAUAUUUUAUAAAUCCGGAUGAUGCCAAUACUUUACAACGAUUGAUCUAGCCAAGGGUUAUCACCAAAUCCAAAUGGAUAAAAAUUCCAUUGCGAAAACUACUUUUUCAACCAAACAUGGACACUACGAGCAUAUGCUCGGUCUGAAAAAUGCUCCUGCAACAUUUCAGAGAUGUAUGAACAAUCUUUUGGAAGAUUUGAUUAACAAAGAAUGUUUAGUAUACCUGGAUGACAUUAUAAUUUACUCCACUUCGUUGGAGGAACACAUUCUGUCUAUAAGGAAAGUCUUUGGGAAUCUCAGGGAUGCUAAUUAAAAACUGCAGCUAGACAAAUGUGAGUUCAUGAAGAAGGAAACUGAAUUACUGGGACACAUUGUAGCCACAAAUUGCAUAAAACCCAAUCCAAAUAAAACUUACGCAAUUAUGAAUUUUCCAAUACCUAAGACACCAAAACAAUUAAAACCAUUUUUGGGAUUAAGUGGGUUCAACCGCAAGUUCAUUCCUAACUUUGCCACGGUAGUUAAACCUCUGACCUUAAACUAAAGAAAGGUGCAGUAAUCGACAUCAAAUGUAAAGACUACGUUGAGUCAUUCAAAAGGAUACAAGUUUUGAUAACUUCAGAUCCGAUAUUGAUUUAUCCAGAUUUCUCAAAGCCAUUUUCUUUGAUAACUGAUGCAAGUAAUUUAGCUAUUGGUGCUGUGUUAUCUUAAUAUCAUAAACCCAACUGUUAUGCCACCAGAACUCUGAAUGAGCACGAGAUUAAUUCCGCUACAAUCGAGAAAGAAUAUUUAGCUUUUGUCUGGGCAACAAAAUAUUUCAGGUCAUAUAUAUUUGUUUGAUAGACCAUUUGAAAUACUGAGUGAUUAUAAACCUUUAGAAUGGCUUUAUAAUAUUAAAGAACCGAACGUGAAGUUACAAAGAAUAAAAUUGAAUGAAUUUGAUUAAAAAAUUAAAUACCUUCCACAGAGCGAGCGAAGAUAAUCUAAAUUACUUGUCAAUAACUGAAAGACCACUUAGACCACCAGACCAAACAACGAUAUAACCCAUUUAAGUCAUUGUUUUCAGAGGUUGGAAAUGGAAAUAAUUUACAGGGAAAUGUCAACUGCAGUCGGCAUGCUCGAGUUCAGACAUAGCGACCUCCUGGAUAUUUGGAGGCGUAACAAUCGGCAAAUAAGUUAUGUUUCAGAUUACGUUUAUUCCGCAAUCAACAACAAUAAUCUGGAAUCGAAAAGGACAGAAGAGAUUGACAAAAAAAUAGUAAAUUUUGAAUUAUUCAUUAAAAGAAAACUGCUCGAGUGUAAACGACAACUAGACCGAUUUAUUUCCAAACAUACUAAGUCGAUGGGGUCUAAGAUAACAAUUCUUGCUAGUGAUUUUGAAAUCUCCAAAACACCACAGCAAAUGGAACGCCGAAACUUAUCUCACCAAAAUGCAGGAGCAUUUACGCGUAUACACAUUUAUUAUAUUAAAAAAAAAACAAUAAAAUUUCGUUGACUCCUGAGUCAUACCAGUAGUUAAUAUAGGAUGCAAGAGAGGCCCAUGUGCGACAUUUCUUGCCUAAACCCUCACACAAUUGUCACGUUCCCACGCUCAAAGUUUGGACUCGCAUACACGAAAACAGAAGUUUUAAAUUUCAACAAAGGAAAUCGUAAGAAUCUAAGAGCACUUGUAUCCAAAAGCUAAUGCACUUGAACCCAAGAGAAAUGCAAAGAUAAUCAGAAUCAGAAACUUUAAAGCUCUCUUCAAUCCCUAAAAUCCAAAGUCCAUAUUUAAAAAGCUCGAGACCGAGGCUUGAACGUCAAUCAAUCUAGAUCAACAAGCUGCAUGCGCCAGCGCAGUUGGGACUGCAAUUGGAUCUACACUUAGCGAAUUCCACCUGGCCAUAAGCGAAGUAACCAUUCAGCCUCCAUAUAAUGACAAGCGCUCUCCUUCUGCAGGGCAUCCAUUUAGCAGAUUCAUAAAUGUUGC